UACAGAGGUCUCAAGCGUUGUUCGGAUUCAUUGGGCGUAAAGGGUGCGUAGGUGGCGCCGUAAGUCAGGUGUGAAAUUUCGGAGCUUAACUCCGAAACUGCAUUUGAUACUGCGGUGCUUGAGGACUGGAGAGGAGACUGGAAUUCACGGUGUAGCAGUGAAAUGCGUAGAUAUCGUAAGGAAGACCAGUGGCGAAGGCGGGUCUCUGGACAGUUCCUGACGCUGAGGCACGAAGGUCAGGGGAGCAAACGGG
rnacentral:rRNA from 1 species